AGUUACUUUAUAGGUGGGAUUCUUCUAAAUAUCAAUCUUCAGUAUAAACCUACAGGCACAAGGAAAUCUGUUCAUCAUAAAAUGGAUUCAAAGCACAUCAUCGCUACAAUAAUCAUUCGUCUUCUAGCGUUAUUGACUAAACUCCACAUUCUAGUGAAUCAAGUCCAAAUUUUAAAACUCAGGUAAAAAUAUUGUAAAAACCUGCCUUCGUCCUAUGUCCCAAAUGUAUAUGACUUAAG